AUUGAACGCUGGCGGCAGGCCUAACACAUGCAAGUCGAACGGUAACAGGAAACAGCUUGCUGUUUCGCUGACGAGUGGCGGACGGGUGAGUAAUGUCUGGGAAACUGCCUGAUGGAGGGGGAUAACUACUGGAAACGGUAGCUAAUACCGCAUAACGUCGCAAGACCAAAGAGGGGGACCUACGGGCCUCUUGCCAUCAGAUGUGCCCAGGUGGGAUUAGCUAGUAGGUGGGGUAACGUCUCACCUAGGCGACGAUCACUAGCUGGUCUGAGAGGAUGACCAGCCACACUGGAACUGAGACACGGUCCAGACUCCUACGGGAGGCAGCAGUGGGGAAUAUUGCACAAAGGGCGCAAGCCUGAUGCAGCCAUGCCGCGUGUAUGAAGAAGGCCUUCGGGUUGUAAAGUACUUUCAGCGGGGAGGAAGGGAGUAAAGUUAAUACCUUUGCUCAUUGACGUUACCCGCAGAAGAAGCACCGGCUAACUCCGUG
rnacentral:rRNA from 1 species